UAGCCACCAAGUCUAGUCACUUGAAC
rnacentral:piRNA from 1 species